rnacentral:rRNA from 1 species
AUUGAACGCUGGCGGCAGGCCUAACACAUGCAAGUCGAACGAGUGGCGGACGGGUGAGUAAUGUCUGGGAAACUGCCUGAUGGAGGGGGAUAACUACUGGAAACGGUAGCUAAUACCGCAUACCAUCAGAUGUGCCCAGAUGGGAUUAGCUUGUUGGGGGGGUAACGGCUCACCAGGGCGACGAUCCCUAGCUGGUCCGUGAGGAUGACCAGCCCCCCUGUAACUGGUACACGUUCCAUCUUCCUACGGGAGUCAGCAGUGGGGAAUAUUGCACAAUGGGCGCAAGCCGGAUGCAGCCAUGCGGCGUGUAUGAAGAAGGCCUUCGGGUUGUAAAGUACUUUCAGCGGGGAGGCGUUACCCGCAGAAGAAGCACCGGCUAACUCCGUGCCAGCAGCCGCGGUAAUUC